rnacentral:rRNA from 1 species
AUGCCAACACACCGAGGUGAGCUUCAGCAAACUCUCUCUCUCUCUCUCUCCAAUCAGACAUGUGAAUAUUUACCAGAGUGCUUCAAGAUCGAUCCGACGAAAGCCGUCCACUGCCACUCUGCUGUUGGGACUAAUUUGGACGGGAAUGGUGAUUUCAUGGUUGAUUAUGAUUACUUGGUUGUUGCUCUUGGAGUUACUGUGAAUACAUUCAACACUCCUGGUGUGAUGGGGCAUUGCCACUUUCUGAAGGUCAUGGAGGAUGCCCAAAAGAUUCGGAAGAGCGUGAUAGACUACUUUGAAAAGGCGUCACCUCCUAACCUCAGUGAAGAGGAGAGAAGGAAGAUCCUUCACUUUGUGAUUAUCGGUGGUGGACCUACUGGGGUUGAAUUUGCGGUGGAGUUGCAUGAUUUUCUUGUCGAAGAUCUGGUGAAGCUAUAUCCUGCAAUUAAAGAAUUUGUGAAGAUAACAAUUAUGCAAUCAGGAGAACAUACAAUGAGGGUUGAACGUUCCUGCAGUAAUAACCUUAGUUUUGGGCAAGAUGAUCAAGGAGUAGCGAAACUUUAG